AUACGGAGGAUGCGAGCGUUAUCCGGAUUUAUUGGGUUUAAAGGGAGCGUAGGCGGGAGCUUAAGUCAGCGGUUAAAUGGUGCGGCUCAACCGUGCCCUGCCGUUGAAACUGGGUUUCUUGAGAGUGCAAGAGGCGGAUGGAAUUCAUGGUGUAGCGGUGAAAUGCUUAGAUAUCAUGAAGAACUCCGAUUGCGAAGGCAGUCCGCUGGGGCACGUCUGACGCUGAUGCUCGAAGGUGCGGGAAUCAAACAGGAUUAGAUACCCUGGUAGUCCGCACGGUAAACGAUGAUUACCCGCUGUCGGCGGUAGACAGUCGGCGGCCAAGCGAAAGCGAUAAGUAAUCCACCUGGGGAGUCCGCCGGCAACGGUGAAACUCAAAGGAAUUGACGGGG
rnacentral:rRNA from 1 species